AUGACCAAGCGUGUUUACACCUGCAGUCUUUAGUCAGGCGCUAACGUCAACUGUGACACGGAUACGCAAGCCUGUUUUUUAAACCAAGAUAAGACUUGACCGUGGGGUGAGAGAUUAUUGUUUGGCAGACCCUCGGCUGAUUGUGAUCAGCUGAACUGCCAUGCUACUCCGAUAUUCCCUGCUCUUUAUGGAUUUAACCACCUGAAUUCAACAAGAUAUAAGCAGAUGUUAAGAAAGUAAAAGAUCUGUAUCCCAGGAGAAACAACCCCUCUUUGGCCUCUGGCUCCAGGAAGCCAGAGCUCCUUGCUGUCCAACAUGGAUGAGACGGAUGUUGAACAGGUGACCCUGGCUCUUCUUGAUGCAGCCACCGAUAAAGACUCAGAAGUCCAGGAACAAGUCAGGAAGUCUAUUUUGACUCUGGGAAAACAGCAGCCAGACCGAGUGUUGGCCAUGUGUCAGGACUACCUCCUGAAACAC